UACGGAGGGUGCGAGCGUUAAUCGGAAUUACUGGGGCGUAAAAGCGCACGCAGGCGGCUUGUUAAGCUAGAGGUGAAAGCCCCCGCGCUCAACGUGGGAAUGCCUUUAGAACUGGCAGGCUAGAGUCUUGGAGAGGGGAGUGGAAUUCCAGGUGUAGCGGUGAAAUGCGUAGAUAUCUGGAGGAACAUCAGUGGCGAAGGCGGCUCCCUGGCCAAAAGACUGACGCUCAUGUGCGAAAGUGUGGGUAGCGAACAGGAUUAGAUACCCCGGUAGUCC
rnacentral:rRNA from 1 species